rnacentral:rRNA from 1 species
GGUUAAGCGACUAAGCGUACACGGUGGAUGCCCAGGCAGUCAGAGGCGAUGAAGGGCGUGCUAAUCUGCGAUAAGCGUCGGUAAGGUGAUAUGAACCGCAACAACCGACGAUACCCGAAUGGGGAAACCCAGUGCAAUCCGUUGCACUAUCAUGUCAUGAAUACAUAGUGGCAUGAGGCGAACCGGGGGAACUGAAACAUCUAAGUACCCCGAGGAAAAGAAAUCAACCGAGAUUCCCCCAGUAGCGGCGAGCGAACGGGGAACAGCCCAGAACCUGAAUCAGUUUGUGCCUUAGUGGAAGCGUCUGGAAAGUCGCGCAGUAAAGGGUGACAGCCCCGUACACAAAAAGGCACUUGCUGUGAGUUCGAUGAGUAGGGCGGGACACGUGACAUCCUGUCUGAAUAUGGGGGGACCAUCCUCCAAGGCUAAAUACUCCUGACUGACCGAUAGUGAACCAGUACCGUGAGGGAAAGGCGAAAAGAACCCCGGCGAGGGGAGUGAAACAGAACCUGAAACCGUGUACGUACAAGCAGUGGGAGCACCUUCGUGGUGUGACUGCGUACCUUUUGUAUAAUGGGUCAGCGACUUAUAUUCUGUAGCAAGGUUAACCGUAUAGGGGAGCCGCAGGGAAACCGAGUCUUAACUGGGCGUUAAGUUGCAGGGUAUAGACCCGAAACCCGGUGAUCUAGCCAUGGGCAGGUUGAAGGUUGGGUAACACUAACUGGAGGACCGAACCGACUAAUGUUGAAAAAUUAGCGGAUGACCUGUGGCUGGGGGUGAAAGGCCAAUCAAACCGGGAGAUAGCUGGUUCUCCCCGAAAGCUAUUUAGGUAGCGCCUCGUGAAUUCAUCUCCGGGGGUAGAGCACUGUUUCGGCUAGGGGGCCAUCCCGGCUUACCAACCCGAUGCAAACUGCGAAUACCGGAGAAUGUUAUCACGGGAGACACACGGCGGGUGCUAACGUCCGUCGUGAAGAGGGAAACAACCCAGACCGCCAGCUAAGGUCCCAAAGUCAUGGUUAAGUGGGAAACGAUGUGGGAAGGCACAGACAGCCAGGAUGUUGGCUUAGAAGCAGCCAUCAUUUAAAGAAAGCGUAAUAGCUCACUGGUCGAGUCGGCCUGCGCGGAAGAUGUAACGGGGCUAAACCAUGCACCGAAGCUGCGGCAGCGGACGUAUCACCCAAGCAGAUUCACUGAAGUGGAUAACGAUUGACGGAGCGCAGCGACGUCAAUGCGCCAUCAAAGUCGAGUCGACUUCGGGAUACGUCCGUUGGGUAGGGGAGCGUUCUGUAAGCCGUCGAAGGUGUGCUGUGAGGCAUGCUGGAGGUAUCAGAAGUGCGAAUGCUGACAUAAGUAACGAUAAAGCGGGUGAAAAGCCCGCUCGCCGGAAGACCAAGGGUUCCUGUCCAACGUUAAUCGGGGCAGGGUGAGUCGACCCCUAAGGCGAGGCCGAAAGGCGUAGUCGAUGGGAAACGGGUUAAUAUUCCCGUACUGGGUGUUACUGCGAAGGGGGACGGAGAAGGCUAUGUUAGCCGGGCGACGGUUGUCCCGGUUUAAGCGUGCAGGCUUGAGUUCCAGGCAAAUCCGGAACUCUUUAAGGCUGAGGCGUGAUGACGAGGCACCACGGUGCUGAAGUAACAAAUGCCCUGCUUCCAGGAAAAGCCUCUAAGCAUCAGGUAACAUCCAAUCGUACCCCAAACCGACACAGGUGGUCAGGUAGAGAAUACCAAGGCGCUUGAGAGAACUCGGGUGAAGGAACUAGGCAAAAUGGUGCCGUAACUUCGGGAGAAGGCACGCUGGCGCGUAGGUGAAGCGACUUGCUCGUGGAGCUGAAGCCAGUCGAAGAUACCAGCUGGCUGCAACUGUUUAUUAAAAACACAGCACUGUGCAAACACGAAAGUGGACGUAUACGGUGUGACGCCUGCCCGGUGCCGGAAGGUUAAUUGAUGGGGUUAUCCGUAAGGAGAAGCUCUUGAUCGAAGCCCCGGUAAACGGCGGCCGUAACUAUAACGGUCCUAAGGUAGCGAAAUUCCUUGUCGGGUAAGUUCCGACCUGCACGAAUGGCGUAAUGAUGGCCAGGCUGUCUCCACCCGAGACUCAGUGAAAUUGAACUCGCUGUGAAGAUGCAGUGUACCCGCGGCAAGACGGAAAGACCCCGUGAACCUUUACUACAGCUUGACACUGAACAUUGAGCCUUGAUGUGUAGGAUAGGUGGGAGGCUUUGAAGCGUGGACGCCAGUCUGCGUGGAGCCAACCUUGAAAUACCACCCUUUAACGUUUGAUGUUCUAACCUGGCGCCGUAAUCCGGCGUGGGGACAGUGUCUGGUGGGUAGUUUGACUGGGGCGGUCUCCUCCCAAAGAGUAACGGAGGAGCACGAAGGUCAGCUAAUCACGGUCGGACAUCGUGAGGUUAGUGCAAUGGCAUAAGCUGGCUUGACUGCGAGAGUGACGGCUCGAGCAGGUGCGAAAGCAGGUCAUAGUGAUCCGGUGGUUCUGAAUGGAAGGGCCAUCGCUCAACGGAUAAAAGGUACUCCGGGGAUAACAGGCUGAUACCGCCCAAGAGUUCAUAUCGACGGCGGUGUUUGGCACCUCGAUGUCGGCUCAUCACAUCCUGGGGCUGAAGUAGGUCCCAAGGGUACGGCUGUUCGCCGUUUAAAGUGGUACGCGAGCUGGGUUUAGAACGUCGUGAGACAGUUCGGUCCCUAUCUGCCGUGGGCGCUGGAAGAUUGAGAGGGGUUGCUCCUAGUACGAGAGGACCGGAGUGAACGCACCGCUGGUGUUCGGGUUGUCAUGCCAAUGGCAUUGCCCGGUAGCUAAGUGCGGAAAAGAUAAGCGCUGAAAGCAUCUAAGCGCGAAACUUGCCUCGAGAUGAAUCUUCCCUGACUCCUUGAGAGUCCUGAAGGGACGUUGAAGACGACGACGUUGAUAGGCCGGGUGUGUAAGCGCAGCGAUGCGUUGAGCUAACCGGUACUAAUGACCCGUGAGGCUUAACCUU